rfam:Acidihalobacter prosperus strain DSM 5130 contig_02, whole genome shotgun sequence.
GCCCAUAUAGCUCAGUCGGUAGAGCACUUCCUUGGUAAGGAAGAGGUCACCGGUUCAAAUCCGGUUAUGGGCU